CUCCAAUGACGAUCCAGCCAUGCUAAUACUGAUGCACCAGGUAGGCUUUGCCUAGCUGGGUGCACGUGAGUUCAUCUCACCUUCUCACGCUGACGUUU
rnacentral:snoRNA from 13 species